CCAUGGGCCUGAAGUGGUACCCACAUCCAGAAGUUCUGCACUGCAUCAAAGGUUGUGAGAGGCCCAAGAAGAUUCAUGAAGAUGAAGAUGUAGAGGAACUCGACGCUAAACCUUUCAUGGGUGACAAUUACUGUGAUGCCAUCAACAACAGAGCCUACUGCAACUACGACGGAGGCGACUGCUGUCAUUCCACUGUCAAGACUAAGAAGGUGAUUCCGUUCCCCAUGUCUUGUGACACCCGAAAAGAGUGCGCUUGCCGGGACCCCAACGCCUUGGAGAACCGGAAGGGCGAGCACUUGCACUCACUCGGUUGAAACGCGGACUGGGAAAGGAUUCGAUGUUCUUCCCAGAAAUGCUGCUGCUUCACAGUUGUACCUCUCUCCUCUUAUAGCUGUUCAUCCUUUCCAAGUCCAAGUCUACCUGCUAUCUCUUACAAUACAAUACAAUACGUUUGGAAAAGGAUCCCAAUGCCAUGACCCCAAAAAAAGGACUGAAGCUGGUUUGAUCACUCACGACUCGCUCAACAUCACCCCCCGCAAAAGCAAGCGAACCAGGACUGGCUUUGGAAAAAAGCGUCAUCUCAAAAGGUCCCUCGUGAAGCGGACUUGGUCCCGGUUGGCUGGAAAGAAGACUAAUCACUGAUUCUUUUGAUGUUCCUACAGUGAAACCAUCCCAAACCCAUCAAAUAUAAACGCGCAACGGGAAGCGGCUGCACGCGGGUCCCGUCGCGCGCUAUUUAUGAAAUAAUUAUUUAAAAUGCACUCGGAUAGAUCCGUGCCGAGAUGAGGUGAGGAUGAGUCGGUUCCUUUAGCAUGGCUGCUGCUGUUGUUGCUGCUAUGAUUGCUGCUAAUUAGUCAAACAACAGACAACAGGAACACGCAGGCCAUGAUCCAGUGUGUCGUCAGUCUGCCUUAACACUUACCUCUGAUCAAUAUGACCGAACACCUCCCAUUACAGCCCAAGGCCAGAGCUGAAUUGUUACUCAUCUGGUCAGAAUGCAUAAUAGACACAAUAUAAAUGAAUGUAGAGGCCAUUGUCAUUAACCUUUUGUUUAGUUCACCCAAAAACGGACAAUUCCAUCAUUAUUUACUCACCCUCCAGUUUUUGGUAGCACUUUACUUGA